CGACCCCAGGUCAGGCGAAAUUACCCGCUGAGUUUAAGCAUAUGAAUAAGCGCAGGAAAAGAAACUUACAAGGAUUCCCUUAGUAAUGGCGAGCGAACCAGGAAUUGCCAAGCCUUAGAAACGGGCAGCUCCGUCAUCCAAUUUAUAUUUGGAGAAGCGUCCUCAGCUGUGGACCAGGCCCAAGUCCCCUAGAAGGGGCACCAGAGAGGGUGAGAGCCCCGUUGUGCCCGGAUCCUGUCGUACCACGAGGCUCUGUCUACAAGUCGGGAUGCUUGGAAAUGUAGCCCAAAACGGGCGGCGAAUACCAUCCAAGGCUAAAUACGGGCGAAAGAUAGAUACCGAACAAGUACCGCAAGGGAAAGAUGAAAAGGACUUUGAAAAGAGAGUCAAAGUGUGCUUGAAAUUAUUGGGAGUGAAGCGGAUGGGGGCCGGUGAUGCGCUCCAGUCGGAUGUGGAACGGCGACGAGCCGGUUCGCCGAUCAACUCGGGGCGUGAACUAGCAUGGAUUGGGGGAGGCCAAAGCCCGGGCUCUCGAUACGCUCGGGAAAUGCCGUCUCUGCGUGCUCCAGACGCUUCCCAUGGGCUUCACAUUCACAUCGUCUUGAAACACAGACCAAGGAGUCUGACAUGUGUGUGCGAGUCAACGGGCGAUUAAACCCAUAAGGCGUAAGGAAACUGAUUGGUAAGAUCCCCCCGAGGGGUGCACCACCGACCGACCUUGAUUUUAUGAGAAGGGUUCAAGUGUGAGCAUACCUGUCGGGAUCCGAAAGAUGGUGAACAAUGCAUGAGCUCGGCGAAGCCAGAGGAAACUCUGGUGGAGGCCUGCAGCGAUAGUGACAUGUAAAUCGUUCGUCUGACUUGGGUAUAAGGGCGAAAGACUAAUCGAACCGUCUAGUUGCUGGUUCUCUUCGAAGUUUCCCUCAGGAUAGCUGGAGCUCGCAUGCGAGUUCUAUCGGGUAAGGCCAAUGAUUAGAGGCCUCGGGGGAGCAACGCCCUCGACCUAUUCUCAAACUUUAAAAAGGCAGGACGGCGCGGCUGCUUUGUUGAGCCUUGCCACGGAAUCAAGAGCUCCAAGUGGGCCAUUUUUGGUAAGCAGAAAUGGUGAUGUGGGAUGAACUUGAAGUCGGGUUACGGUGCAAAAUUGUGCGCUAGUCUAGAUCCCACAAAGGAUGUUGGUCGAUUAAGACAGCAGGACGGUGGUCAUGGAAGUCAAAAUCCGCUAAGGAGUGUGUAAAAACUCACCUGCCGAGUUAACUAGCCCCAAAAAUGGAUGGCCCUUAAGCGCGCAACCUACACCCGACCGUCGGGGCAAGUGCCAGGCCCCGAUGACUAGGAGGGCGCGACGGUCACUGCAAAACCUUGGGCGCGAGAGGCCGACGGUGCAGAUCUUGGUGGUAGUAGCAAAUAUUCUAAUGAGAACUUUGAAGACUGAAGAGGGGAAAGGUUUCAUGUAAACGGCACUUGCACAUGGGUUAGUCGAUCCUAAGGGUCGGGAGAACCCCGACAGAUAGCGCGUACUCUGAAAGAAAAUCAGGAUAAAAUUCCUGAACCGGGAUGUGGCAAUCGACAACAACUUUUAGAAGUUUAAAGACAUCGGUGGGAGCCUCAGGAAGAGUUAUCUUUUUUGUUUUACAGCCUUCCCACCCUGGAAUCGGCUCGAUCGGAGGUAGGGUCCAGCGGCUGGAAGAGCACCGCACGUCGCGUAGUGUUCGGUUUGCUCCCAGCGGCCCUUGAAAAUCCGAAGGACCGAAUGUCGUCCACGCUCGGUCGUACUCAUAACCGCAUCAGGUCUCCAAGGUGAACAACCUCUGGUUGAUGGAACAAUGUAGGCAAGAGAAGUUGGCAAAAUGGAUCCGUAACUACAGGAAAAGGAUUGGCUCUGAGGGCUGGGCACGGGGGUCCCAGUCCUGAACCUUUCGGCAGUAAGUGGACUGCUCGAGCUGCUCCCACAGCGAGAGCGGGUAGCGACGUGCCGACCGGGAAACGGACUGGGAACUGUUCCUUCGGUUGCCUUCCCCGCGCGUCGAACAACCAACUCAAAAUUGGUAUGGACAAGAGGAAUCCGACUGUUUAUUUAAAACAAAGCAUUGCGAUGGUCCCAACGGAUGUUCACGCAAUGUGUUUUUUGCCCAGUGCUUUGAAUGCCAAAGUGAAGAAAUUCAAUCAUGCACGGGUAAACAGCGGGAGUAAUUAUGACUCUCUUAAGGUAGCCAAAUGCCUCGUCAUCAAAUUAGUGACGCGCAUGAAUGGAUUAACGAUAUUCCCACUGUCCCUGUCUACUAUCCAGUGAAACCACAGCCAAGGGAUUGGGCUUGGUAGAAUCAGCGGGGAAAGAAAAACCUGUUAAGCUUGACUCUAGUUCGACUUUGUGAAAUGACUUGAGAGGUGUAGUAUAAUUGGGAUCCGAAAGGCGAAAGUGAAAUACCACUACUUUUAACGUUAUUUUACUUAUUCCGUGAAUCGAAAGUGGAGCACUGCCCCUCUUUUUGGACCCAAGGCUCGCUCUGUGGGCUGAUCCGGGCGGAAGACAUUGUCAAGUGGGGAGUUUGGCUAGGGUGGCACAUCUGUUAAAAGAUAACGCAGAUGUCCUAAGAUGAGCUCGACGAGAACAGAAAUCUCGUAUAGAAUAGAAGGGUAAAAACUCGUUUGAUUCUGAUUUCCAGUACGAAUACGAACCAUGAAAGCGUGGCCUAACGAUCCUUUAGAUCUUCGAAAUUCAAAGCUAGAGGUGUCAGAAAAGUUACCACAGGGAUAACUGGAUUGUGGCAGCCAAGCGUUCAUAGCGACGUUGCUUUUUGAUCUUUCGAUGUCGGCUCUUCCUAUCAUUGUGAAGCAUAAUUCACCAAGUGUUGUAUUUUUCACCCUUCAAUAGGGAACGUGAGCUGGGUUUAGACCGUCGUAAGACAGGUUAGUUUUACCCUACUGAUGAUAGUAUCGCAGUGGUAAAUCAACCUAGUACGAGAGGAACCGUUUAUUCAUAUAAUUGGUCAUCGCUCUUGGCUGAAAAGCCAGUGGCGCGAAGAUACCGUGUGCCAGAUUAUGACUGGAUGCCUCUAAGUCAGAAUUUGGCCUAGAAGCGACGUAUGCGCCCGCCGUCCGCUUGCCGACCUGCAGUAGGGUCCUCGGCCCCCAAGGGCAUGUGUCGUAGGCUAAGUGACCGCGGCGGAAGGGUCGCGGUGGCCGCCUUAAAGUACAAUUUCCAUCGAGCAGCGGGUAGAAUCCUUUGUAGAUGACUCAAAUACGCGAUGGGGUAUUGUAAGUGGCAGAGUGGCCUUGCUGUCAUGAUCCACUGAGAUUCAUCCCUUUGUCGCUCCGGUUCAU
rfam:Capsicum annuum cultivar Zunla-1 chromosome 9, whole genome shotgun sequence